ACUCACCCGUCUGAGCGCUUCCCGGUGGUCUUUGGACGCUCUCUUUAUCAGCUAUAUCUCCUCGGAAGGAUUUCCAAGCAGAGCCACAUCACCAAACUCUCCCGGAAACAAAACCUGCUCGCCGCUGAUUGGACGACACGGGGAAAAAAUAAUGCAAAGACACAAUCAGGCAGUUAAGCUGAUCGUCAGCCGUGGCAAGCAGCUGGGUCGAAGCCUGGCGUUGCUGGCCCGCUACGUGAUGCUCUUUGCGGCCUUUGCGGGCCGCUUCGUGCAGUGGAUGGCGGACGCCGGGUGUUGGACCACGCGCCUCACGCGCUGCACGCUAGCCGCCUUUGAUGGCGUCUACGCGCACCUGCGACGCGUCUUGAGGCGGAAGAGCAGUGUGGACUGACCGCCGCACGUCUCGUUUGACUCUGCAAACCUCACGCGAGGCCUUACGCUAGUGCUUUAUGGCUUUCUGUUACAUUUGUGCAUGUUGAAUCGUUUUUAAUCGGAAAGCCAAUGCCUUCGACAGGCAGGCAUAAUAUGUCUGACAUGAUGUAAUGACACUACUACAUGAAGUACAUCCCAUUUUUUAGACAUUAUGUAUCUUUUACAUAUAUAUAUUUACCAUACAUGUUUUAUAGCUUUACGUUAUGCUAAAAUGCAAAAGAACAUACUUUGUCAUUUAAACAUUAUAUUUUUCUACAAACACUUUGCUUCUAUUUUUCAUUUAAACAGAGCUCUCAUUUUCUGUUGCUUGUAAUAACACACUAACAGUACUGCAUUAAAAGAAUGAAUGCG